ensembl:ncRNA lncRNA:CR45052 long non-coding RNA:CR45052
AUUUGAUGUGAAAUAUAAUAUAAUGCAUAAGGUAAGUGCUAUAAUUGAACUACAAUACAUUUAAUUGAUGUUACUCUAACAUAAGUUUAAAUAUUUUUUUUAUUGAUCAUAGUUGACCUAUUUUCUUAGUGCCCUCUGACUUUCUUUCAACCAUGGAACCACCACCCUGAACAACCCAAACAGUCGCUGCUCAAUUUGUUCAUCUAAUUAUAAACAGCCAUCGAGCUGAGCCGAUCCUCGACGGAAGUUCAAUGAUCCCAGGAAAAAACCUGAAGGAAAAGGGGAAUAGAGCAAAGAAAAGGGCAAACAAUGACUCGGUAGACAAAGGAAAAGAAAAUGGAAAAAUGCCAGUAGAUAGGGAAGGCAAAAGGUAGAAAGGCUGAAAGGCUGAAAGUCAGUGAAUAUGAAUAGCCAAGACAAUGAGGCUGCAAAGGAAUGAAAGGACGUUCGCCACUCACGUGGACCGAAUGCUGAUCCUCGAGAUGUGCGUGCUGCGAUACGCGUGUGUUCCAGGAAUAGCAAACAGGACACGCCCACGCCCACGCAUUUGUCAAGGAAUUCGACCCCGCAGGAGACUCAAUCCGAUCGCUAGUUGCUGUUGAGUAAUUUGUGCGCUGCUGAGAUAAAAAUCUGUUAAGCGGUUACCAAACAUAAACAGAGUCCGGGGUGGAAAAGAUCAUUAUUGCACUGGAAGAAAGGAAUUAGAAAUUUUUGACAU